UACGGGGGGAGCAAGCGUUGUUCGGAUUUACUGGGCGUAAAGGGCGCGUAGGCGGUCAGUGCAAGUCAGUUGUGAAAUCUCCGGGCUUAACUCGGAAAGGUCAACUGAUACUGCUCGACUAGAGUGCGGAAGGGGCAACUGGAAUUCUUGGUGUAGCGGUGAAAUGCGUAGAUAUCGAGAGGAACACCAGUGGCGAAGGCGAGUCCCUGGACAAAACCUGACACUGAGGCAACGAAAGCUAGGGGAGCAAACAGG
rnacentral:rRNA from 1 species